UGUCCGGUGGUGUAACGGUAGCACAAGAGUCUUUGGAGCUCUUUGUCAUGGUUCGAAUCCAUGCCGGACAGCCA
rnacentral:tRNA from 1 species